UACAGAGGUCUCAAGCGUUGUUCGGAUUCAUUGGGCGUAAAGGGUGCGUAGGCGGCGCGGUAAGUCGGGUGUGAAAUCUUGGAGCUUAACUCCGAAACUGCAUUCGAUACUGCCGUGCUUGAGGACUGGAGAGGAGACUGGAAUUUACGGUGUAGCGGUGAAAUGCGUAGAUAUCUGGAGGAACACCGGUGGCGAAGGCGGCAUCCUGGACCAAUUCUGACGCUGAGUGAGCGAAAGCCAGGGGAGCAAACGGG
rnacentral:rRNA from 1 species